rnacentral:tRNA from 1 species
UAAGGUAUAGCUCAGGGGUAGAAUGUGUGCUUAACAUGCAUAAGUUCGUGGGUUCAAUCCCCAGUACCUCCA